GACAGAGGGUGCAAACGUUGUUCGGAAUUACUGGGCGUAAAGCGCGUGUAGGCAGUUUCGCAAGUCGGGUGUGAAAGCCCUGGGCUCAACCUAGGAAGUGCACUCGAAACUGCGAGACUUGAGUCCUGGAGAGGAAGGCGGAAUUCUCGGUGGAGCAGUGAAAUGCGUAGAUAUCAAGAGGAACACCAACGGCGAAGGCAGCUAGCUGGACGAGAUCCGACGCUCAGGCUCGAAAGUAUGGGGAGCAAAAAGG
rnacentral:rRNA from 1 species